AAUUAAUAUUAAUCAAUAUAACAAAAAAUAUUUUAACCAUAUGGUCCUUUCGUACUAAUAUGGAUUAACAAUCUUAGGAUAGAAACCGACCUGGCUCACGCCGGUCUGAACUCAGAUCAUGUAAGAAUUUAAAGGUCGAACAGACCUAAUCAUUGGGCUCCUGCACCCAAAAUUUUUCUUAAUCCAACAUCGAGGUCGCAAUCUGCUUUGUCGAUAUGAGCUCUCAAAAACAAUUACGCUGUUAUCCCUAAGGUAACUUAAUCUUAUGAUCAUAAAUUAUGGAUCAAAAUAUCAAACAUAAAUAAAUGAUAUAAUAAUGAAGAGUUUAUCUAUUCUUCAUGUCACCCCAACAAAACAUCAUCAUUAAAUAUAGAUAGACAAACAAAAAACUAUAUAAAAGUAAAAUGUCAAGCUCU